rnacentral:rRNA from 1 species
CUGCAGCCCGAGUGGUGAUCGAUUUUAUCGAGCCUAAAGCGUCCGUAGCCGGACUAGUAAACCCUUGGGUAAAUUGGGCAGCUUAACUGUCCAAAUUCCGAGGGGACUGCUAGUCUUGGGACCGGGAGAGGUCAGAGGUACUCAAGGGGUAGGGGCUAAAUCCUGUAAUCCUUUGGGGACCACCAGUGGCGAAGGCGUCUGACUAGAACGGAUCCGACGGUAAGGGACGAAACCCUGGGGCGCGAACCGGAUUAGAUACCCGAGUAGUCC